rnacentral:rRNA from 1 species
UACAGAGGGGGCAAGCGUUGCUCGGAAUUACUGGGCGUAAAGGGCGCGUAGGCGGGAUGGUAAGUCGGUCGUGAAAUCCUUCGGCUCAACCGAAGAACGUCGAUCGAUACUGCUGUUCUUGAGGGUUGCAGAGGAGACUGGAAUUCCCGGUGUAGCGGUGAAAUGUGUAGAGAUCGGGAGGAACACCGGUGGCGAAGGCGGGUCUCUGGGCAAUUCCUGACGCUGAGGCGCGAAAGCGUGGGGAGCAAACGGG